AAAGCUGCCUCUGUGGUGCACAGCAGGUAUUAUCGGAUAGCUGCCUUUGGUUACUACGCCUACAAAAUGCACCCGGAUGAUAUUCUCUACAACUGCCUGCCACUCUAUCACUCUGCAGGGAACAUUAUGGGAGUUGGCCAAUGUCUAAUCCAUGGGCUCACCGUGGUGAUCAGGAAGAAGUUCUCGGCCAGUCGCUUCUGGGAUGAC